rnacentral:tRNA from 1 species
CUGGGUGUAGUGUCAGCCAGGUAGACGGCCCGCCUUGGAAGCGGGAGGACGCUGGAUCGAAGCCAGCCACCAAGACCA